CUGGGCUCCAGCCUCAGUUUGCAUGUAGGUUACACUUUACCAAAAGUGCUGCAUACAAAUAGCAACCUUUAUAAAUGUUGCCAUUUGUAUGUUUGCAUGUCUUAAAUUUAAAAAAAUUACAUUAUCAAACAAGCUGUUAACGAUGUUUGCUAGUUACCUUUUCAAUGGUAACUGUGGUGGGAAUAGAAGGAACACAACCAAAAAAACCAAGAUGGCUGACGUGGUAGCAUGAAGGGCCUGGUGUGAAGACAGCCGGUUCAGCCCGGUUCUGCACAGAUGAGACGGAAGCCUCGUCAUGGAGUUUGGAGGAUGAGGAAGGGAUUGGCCGGGGUGCUCACGCUAACCUCCAAGGCUCAUGUUACCGUCAGUCAUCUUUCCAGGUGUUUCAGGACCACAUUCGUAUUGAAACAAAGGAUGAAGUAACUCUGCGGGCAAGGCUUUCCCCUAAACAGCUCCAGCAGAGAUGGGUGGUCAGAGCGCUCGGUUACAGCGGAGGAGCUAUCGUGAUCCUGUAUUCACGUUUCUCUGCCAGGCUUUGAAGUGGGUAAUGUGAUUUUGGUUGAAGCCCAAAGUCUUGAUGGUAAUUACAUUGCUCUCUCUGACUCUCAU
rnacentral:lncRNA from 1 species